UCACCGAAGUUAAGCAACGCCGAGUCUGGUCAGUACCUAGAUGGGUGACCGCUUGGGAAUACCAGGUGCUGUAAG